CUUGACCUCAAAUCGGGUGAGACUACCCGCUGAACUUAAGCAUAUC
rnacentral:rRNA from 10 species